rnacentral:ncRNA from 1 species
GGCGGGAGGGCGGUGAAUACAAUACCCUUUGCGGGGGAAUAAACCCGCCUGUCUACUUGCAGGUUCUGAACCUCCCGCUCACCAGUG